GGGGAUAAUCGGGAGAAAUCCCGUCUAAUACCGCGUAAUGCCGCGGGGCUGCAUGGCCCUGCGGCCAAAGGGAGCGAUUCCGGCAACGGAUGGGCAUGCGUGACAUUAGCUAGUUGGCGGGGCAACGGCCCACCAAGGCGACGAUGUCUAGGGGUUCUGAGAGGAAGGUCCCCCACACUGGUACUGAGACACGGACCAGACUCCUACGGGAGGCAGCAGUGAGGAAUAUUGGUCAAUGGGCGCGAGCCUGAACCAGCCAAGUCGCGUGAGGGAUGACGGCCCUACGGGCUGUAAACCUCUUUUGUCGGGGAGCAAAAGACGCCACGCGUGGCGUUCCGAGAGUACCCGAAGAAAAAGCAUCGGCUAACUCCGUGCCAGCAGCCGCGGUAAUACGGAGGAUGCGAGCGUUAUCCGGAUUUAUUGGGUUUAAAGGGUGCGCAGGCGGAAGAUCAAGUCAGCGGUAAAAUUGAGAGGCUCAACCUCUUCGAGCCGUUGAAACUGGUUUUCUUGAGUGAGCGAGAAGUAUGCGGAAUGCGUGGUGUAGCGGUGAAAUGCAUAGAUAUCACGCAGAACUCCGAUUGCGAAGGCAGCAUACCGGCGCUCAACUGACGCUCAUGCACGAAAGUGUGGGUAUCGAACAGGAUUAGAUACCCUGGUAGUCCACACAGUAAACGAUGAA
rnacentral:rRNA from 1 species